rnacentral:misc_RNA from 3 species
AACGCACCUUGCGCUCCUUGGUAUUCCGAGGAGCAUGCCUGUUUGAGUGUCAUUCAAAUCAUCAACCCCGUCGAUCUUUGAUCGGUCGGAGGCUUGGACUUUGGAGCGUGCUGGCCCUGAGGUCGGCUCCUCUUUAAAUGCAUCAGCGGAAAGCCCAUUGACGUUUCCCGUCGGCGUGAUAACACUGUUGCGUCGUCAGGGUCUGGUUGGGGCUCGCUUAUAAUCGUCUUCGGACAACAUCCCAUUUUGACCUCAAAUCAGGUAGGACUACCCGCUGAACUUAA